rnacentral:tRNA from 1 species
GGUAGCGUGGCCGAGUGGUCUAAGGCGCUGGUUUUAGGUACCAGUCUCCCCGGAGGCGUGGGUUUGAAUCCCACCGCUGCCA